CAAACUUCAUGAAGAGGAUUUGAGAUCCCUCUGAGAAGUCCAAGAAGGCUAAGAAAGAAAGGCUGGGAGAAUCCUCUGGGUCAAGACCUCUAGUCCCUCUGGCUGGCUCUCCAAGCAAGUUUGUACCUCUCUCUCGCUCUGUUAAAAUAAAAACUCUUGCUUCUUCUCUUCCCCAAACCACUCCAAUAUACACCACCUCUAAAACCCCUCCCUCAACCACCAG
rnacentral:lncRNA from 1 species